rnacentral:rRNA from 1 species
GACGAACGCUGGCGGCGUGCCUAAUACAUGCAAGUAGAACGCUGAAGAGAGGAGCUUGCUCUUCUUGGAUGAGUUGCGAACGGGUGAGUAACGCGUAGGUAACCUGCCUUGUAGCGGGGGAUAACUAUUGGAAACGAUAGCUAAUACCGCAUAACAAUGGAUGACACAUGUCAUUUAUUUGAAAGGGGCAAUUGCUCCACUACAAGAUGGACCUGCGUUGUAUUAGCUAGUAGGUGAGGUAACGGCUCACCUAGGCGACGAUACAUAGCCGACCUGAGAGGGUGAUCGGCCCCACUGGGACUGGGACACGGCCCAGACUCCUACGGGAGGCAGCAGUAGGGAAUCUUCGGCAAUGGGGGCAAACCUGACCGAGCAACGCCGCGUGAGGGAAGAAGGUUUUCGGAUCGUAAAGCUCUGUUGUAAGUCAAGAACGAGUGUGAGAGUGGAAAGUUCACACUGUGACGGUAGCUUACCAGAAAGGGACGGCUAACUACGUG